AGCAGCCGCGGUAAUUCCAGCUCCAAUAGCGUAUAUUAAAGUUGUUGCAGUUAAAGCUCUAGUUGAAUUUCGGGAUCAAUAUGUUGGUCGUGCCUCGGUACGUACUAGCUUAUUGGUUCUCCUUUCUGAAGAACCAUGAUGUCAUUUAUUUGGUGUCGUGGGGAAUCAGGACUGUUAUUUGAAAAAUUAGAGUGUUUAAAGCAGGCUCACGCUUGAAUACAUUAGCAUGGAAUAAUAAAUAGGACGUUUGAUUCUAUUUUGU
rnacentral:rRNA from 1 species